UUGAAAAUGCUCAAAAAAUUUCUUUGCAUUUGUCUGAAUUUUCACCUCCCCCUUAGAAAAUCACUAAACCUGCGCCUGAAUUAUUAACUCCCCCAUGUAAAUCAGUCAGUAUAAGAUGGUGUGAUUAUGUUAUUUAGUUAGGAAGAUAGAAAUUUUACAUCUGUAAAGUAAUUAGUUAUUUAUUUACUUAAAAAUGCUGUAAAAGGUUUUUUAUAUCUGUCUGAAUUAUCACCUCCCCCCUUAGUCAAUCACUUUAUAUGAGAUGGUGCAAUAAUAGUAUUGUUUUAUAAUGAUAGAAAUUGUUUAUUUGUAAAUUAAUUAGUCACUUUUUUACUUGAAAAUGCUCAAAAAAUUUCUUUGUAUUUGUCUGAAUUAUCACCUCCCCCUUAGAAAAUCACUAAACCUGCGCCUGAAUUAUUAACUCCCCCAUGUAAAUCAGUCAGUAUAAGAUGGUUUAUUUUGUGACAUUGUAAUUAAAAAUUUAUUUUUUGUUCGUUUUUAGUGACUCAUCAUGUUAUAGUGUGAUGUUUUCUAAAUGACUUUAUGUGAUAGUGUGAACGUUUUCUGACUGGCAGAAGGAUAUUCAGUUUUCUUUUUGCCCAACCUUGUCAGUCUGGUGCUAAAAAGAAGAGAACGAACAACAUUUAUGUGUAAACACUGAGAGAGGAAAAAAAGGACUAGUUUAU